rnacentral:rRNA from 1 species
AUACGUAGGUGGCAAGCGUUGUCCGGAUUUAUUGGGCGUAAAGCGAGCGCAGGCGGUUUCUUAAGUCUGAUGUGAAAGCCCCCGGCUUAACCGGGGAGGGUCCUUGGAAACUGGGAGACUUGAGUGCAGAAGAGGAGAGUGGAAUUCCAUGUGUAGGGGGGAAAUGCGUAGAUAUAUGGAGGAAAACAAGUGGCGAAGGCGACUCUCUGGUCUGUAACUGACGCUGAGGCUCGAAAGCGUGGGGAGCAAACAGGAUUAGAUACCCUGGUAGUCCACGCCGUAAACGAUGAGUGCUAAGUGUUGGAGGGUUUCCGCCCUUCAGUGCAGCAGCUAACGCAUUAAGCACUCCGCCUGGGGAGUACGGCCGCAAGGCUGAAACUCAAAUGAAUUGACGGGG